rnacentral:rRNA from 3 species
GAGUUUGAUUCUGGCUCAGGAUGAACGCUAGCUACAGGCUUAACACAUGCAAGUCGCGGGACCGGCGCACGGGUGAGUAACGCGUAUCCAACCUGCCCUUCACCACGGGAUAACCCGGCGAAAGUCGGACUAAUACCGUAUGUUGAAAGGCGGUGAAGGAUGGGGAUGCGUCCGAUUAGCCAGACGGCGGGGUAACGGCCCACCGUGGCGACGAUCGGUAGGGGUUCUGAGAGGAAGGUCCCCCACACUGGAACUGAGACACGGUCCAGACUCCUACGGGAGGCAGCAGUGAGGAAUAUUGGUCAAUGGGCGUAAGCCUGAACCAGCCAAGUAGCGUGCAGGAUGACGGCCUAUGGGUUGUAAACUGCUUUUAUGCGGGGAUAUGCAGGUACCGCAUGAAUAAGGACCGGCUAAUUCCGUGCCAGCAGCCGCGGUAAUACGGAAGGUCCGGGCGUUAUCCGGAUUUAUUGGGUUUAAAGGGAGCGUAGGCCGCGCCUUAAGCGUGUUGUGAAAUCCGGGUGCUCAACAUCCGGCUUGCAGCGCGAACUGGGGCGCUUGAGUGCGCAGAAAGUAGGCGGAAUUCGUGGUGUAGCGGUGAAAUGCUUAGAUAUCACGAGGAACUCCGAUUGCGAAGGCAGCCUACUGUAGCGACUGACGCUGAUGCUCGAAAGCGUGGGUAUCGAACAGGAUUAGAUACCCUGGUAGUCCACGCGGUAAACGAUGGAUGCUCGUUGUCGGCCGGUCGGUGACCAAGCGAAAGCGUUAAGCAUCCCACCUGGGGAGUACGCCGGCAACGGUGAAACUCAAAGGAAUUGACGGGGGCCCGCACAAGCGGAGGAACAUGUGGUUUAAUUCGAUGAUACGCGAGGAACCUUACCCGGGCUUGAACUGCGGAGGUGCUGCAUGGUUGUCGUCAGCUCGUGCCGUGAGGUGUCGGCUUAAGUGCCAUAACGAGCGCAACCCCCGUCUUCAGUUGCCAUCGGCCGGGCACUCUGGAGAUACUGCCACCGCAAGGUGGAGGAAGGUGGGGAUGACGUCAAAUCAGCACGGCCCUUACGUCCGGGGCUACACACGUGUUACAAUGGCGCACAGAGAGUCGGUGGCAUGCGAGUGCCAUCCAAUCCUCUGCGUCUCAGUUCGGAUGGGGUCUGCAACCCGACCCCAGAAGCUGGAUUCGCUAGUAAUCGCGCAUCAGCCAUGGCGCGGUGAAUACGUUCCCGGGCCUUGUACACACCGCCCGUCAAGCCAUGAAAGCCGGGGGCGCCUGAAGUCCGUGUCGGCCUAGGGUGAAACCGGUGAUUGGGGCUAAGUCGUAACAAGGUAGCCGUACCGGAAGGUGCGGCUG